rnacentral:misc_RNA from 1 species
GAUGAAGAACGCAGCGAAAUGCGAUAAGUAGUGUGAAUUGCAGAAUUCAGUGAAUCAUCGAAUCUUUGAACGCACAUUGCGCCCUUUGGUAUUCCAAAGGGCAUGCCUGUUCGAGCGUCAUUUGUACCCUCAAGCUUUGCUUGGUGUUGGGCGUCUUGUCUCUAGCUUUGCUGGAGACUCGCCUUAAAGUAAUUGGCAGCCGGCCUACUGGUUUCGGAGCGCAGCACAAGUCGCACUCUCUAUCAGCAAAGGUCUAGCAUCCACUAAGCCUUUUUUUCAACUUUUGACCUCGGAUCAGGUAGGGAUACCCGCUGAACUUAAGCAUAUCAAUAAGCGGAGG